rnacentral:rRNA from 1 species
UACGUAGGGGGCAAGCGUUGUCCGGAAUCAUUGGGCGUAAAGAGCGUGUAGGCGGCCAGAUAAGUCCGCUGUGAAAUCUCGAGGCUCAACUUCGAGCUGUCGGUGGAAACUGUCUGGCUAGAGUCCGGAAGAGGAGAAUGGAAUUCCUGGUGUAGCGGUGAAAUGCGCAGAUAUCAGGAGGAACACCGGUGGCGAAGGCGCUGCUCUGGGCCGAAACUGACGCUGAGGAGCGAAAGCGUGGGGAGCAAACAGG